UGGGGAAUUUUGGACAAUGGGCGAAAGCCUGAUCCAGCAAUGCCGCGUGUGUGAAGAAGGCCUUCGGGUUGUAAAGCACUUUUGUCCGGAAAGAAAUCCUUGGCUCUAAUACAGUCGGGGGAUGACGGUACCGGAAGAAUAAGCACCGGCUAACUACGUGCCAGCAGCCGCGGUAAUACGUAGGGUGCAAGCGUUAAUCGGAAUUACUGGGCGUAAAGCGUGCGCAGGCGGUUUGCUAAGACCGAUGUGAAAUCCCCGGGCUCAACCUGGGAACUGCAUUGGUGACUGGCAGGCUAGAGUAUGGCAGAGGGGGGUAGAAUUCCACGUGUAGCAGUGAAAUGCGUAGAGAUGUGGAGGAAUACCGAUGGCGAAGGCAGCCCCCUGGGCAAGUACUGACGCUCAUGCACGAAAGCGUGGGGAGCAAACAGGAUUAGAUACCCUGGUAGUCCACGCCCUAAACGAUGUCAACUAGUUGUUGGGGAUUCAUUUCCUUAGUAACGUAGCUAACGCGUGAAGUUGACCGCCUGGGGAGUACGGUCGCAAGAUU
rnacentral:rRNA from 1 species